GAUUAAGAACGUAGCGAAAUGCGAUAAGUAAUGUGAAUUGCAGAAUCCAGUGAAUCAUCGAAUCUUUGAACGCACAUUGCGCCCGCCAGCAUUCUGGCGGGCAUGCCUGUUCGAGCGUCAUUUCAACCCUCGACCUCCCUUUGGGGAAGUCGGCGUUGGGGACCGGCAGCACACCGCCGGCCCUGAAAUGGAGUGGCGGCCCGUCCGCGGCGACCUCUGCGUAGUAAACCAACUCGCACCGGAACCCCGACGUGGCCACGCCGUAAAACACCCAACUUCUGAACGUUGACCUCGAAUCAGGUAGGACUACCCGCUGAACUUAAGCAUAUCAAUAAGCGGAGGA
rnacentral:misc_RNA from 1 species